AGAGUUUGAUCCUGGCUCAGGAUGAACGCUGGCGGCGUGCUUCACACAUGCAAGUCGAACGAACCCCUUCGAUUGAGGCCUUCGGGCCGAUAUUGAAGACGGUUAGUGGCGGACGGGUGAGUAACGCGUGGGUAAUCUGCCCUUAAAUCGGGGAUAACUCCGGGAAACCGGAGCUAAUACCUGAUAAUCUCGCAAGUGCUUUGGUACUUACGAGCAAAGGCGGCCUCUAUUUAUAAGCUGUUGUUUAAGGAUGAGCCCGCGUUCCAUUAGCUUGUUGGUGAGGUAACGGCUCACCAAGGCUGCGAUGGAUAGCCGGCCUGAGAGGGUGUACGGCCACACUGGGACUGAGACACGGCCCAGACUCCUACGGGAGGCAGCAGUGGGGAAUCUUGCCCAAUGGGGGAAACCCUGAGGCAGCGACGCCGCGUGAGUGACGAAGGUCUUCGGAUCGUAAAACUCUGUCCUUGGAGAAGAACCGCUUAUUGGUUAAUAGCCAAUAGGUCUGACGGUAUCCUUGGAGGAAGCCCUGGCUAACUACGUGCCAGCAGCCGCGGUAACACGUAGAGGGCGAGCGUUGUCCGGAAUUAUUGGGCGUAAAGGGCGCGUAGGUGGUUUUGUGUGUCCAAUGUGAAAGGCGUCGGCUUAACCGGCGAAUUGCGUUGGAAACUACAGAACUUGAGUGCAGGAGAGGGGAGUGGAAUUUCUGGUGUAGCGGUGAAAUGCGUAGAUACCAGGAGGAACACCGGUGGCGAAGGCGGCUCCCUGGACUGUAACUGACACUGAGGCGCGAAAGCGUGGGUAGCGAACGGGAUUAGAUACCCCGGUAGUCCACGCCGUAAACGAUGGGUACUAGGUGUUGGGGGUUCGACCCCCCCGGUGCCGCAGUUAACGCAUUAAGUACCCCGCCUGGGGAGUACGGCCGCAAGGUUGAAACUCAAAGGAAUUGACGGGGGCCCGCACAAGCGGUGGAGCAUGUGGUUUAAUUCGACGCUACGCGAAAAACCUUACCGAGGCUUGACAUCUCCCGCCACCCUAAGAAAUUAGGGGUUCCCUUCGGGGACGGGAAGACAGGUGGUGCAUGGCUGUCGUCAGCUCGUGUCGUGAGAUGUUGGGUUAAGUCCCGCAACGAGCGCAACCCUUGUCCUUAGUUGCCAGCAUUAAGUUGGGGACUCUAAGGAGACUGCCGGCAAAGAGUCGGAGGAAGGUGGGGAUGACGCCAAGUCAGCAUGCCCUUUAUGCUUCGGGCUACACACGUGCUACAAUGGUCGGUACAGAGGGCUGCGAACCCGUGAGGGGGAGCGAAUCCCUUAAAGCCGAUCCCAGUUCGGAUUGCAGGCUGCAACUCGCCUGCAUGAAGCCGGAAUCGCUAGUAAUCGCGAAUCAGAACGUCGCGGUGAAUAUGUUCCCGGGCCUUGUACACACCGCCCGUCAAAUCACCCGAGUUGAAUGCACCAGAAGUCGCUGGCCUAACUCGUAAGAGAGGGAGGCGCCGAAGGUGUGUUUGAUAAGGGGGGUUAAGUCGUAACAAGGUAGCCGUACCGGAAGGUGCGGCUG
rnacentral:rRNA from 1 species